GGAUUAAAUAUCAGGAAUUGUGAAAAGCUGAGUUUAAAUGUAUUUGGCUAAGGUGUAUGUAAAUUUCCGACUUCAACUGUGUAUAUUGAGGACUAAUCUGAUUAAGGUGAGUUGUUUAUUUAGCCAAAUAAUAACUACAUUUUCGAUUUGUGCGUGAUGCUUUUAAAUAUUGUGGCCAUUGCAUCGGCACCAAGCUAACUGCGUUUUGCACUCGCUCUGCAACCAGUUCAUUUUAGCAGUCUUGUAAGACUGCUCCUAGAACAUGACAACAUAAUAUAGUGACUAGCUGGAAUUAUGAGUGUAUUUUACUGGACUAAUUAGGCCAUGUCCAUAUUUUGGGACAGUGAAUAUGAGUUGAAUAGUCUGUUUGCUGUAGUUUGGGACCUGCUUCAAGUAGGUUGUGGUCAUGAUCCAAUAUUUUCAAAAUAUACUUUGAAAUGAUCAUUGCUAAGUAAAGGAGUAUUGGUGAAAAUGUUUGUAGUCGUCCUUAUAUCAUGUGUCAUGAUUGAAAUACAAAUGUAAUGCUUUUCAUCCAUGCUGGCCUUAUCUCCUAACUGCUUUCAGACCUAGUCAUGCUGAUCAGGGUGAAAUUCAAUGGUGAACAAAAAUAUGUCAAGAUCAUUAACCUGACACUUGAAAACCUUUUUGAUUGGAAAUAAAUGUAUUGUUUUCAUACCAGUCAGUCUGAUUACUCAUACCAUUACAAUUGCAAUUCUAAUUGUAGGUUGUUGUCUUAAUGUUUGUCACAGUUUUCCUGAAAUUUGAGAUCCCACUUACUAGUUUAUCAGAGACAAAGCUGUAUGAUGGGUCUGGAACUGAAGUUGAUGGGGAUGUGUUUGAGAAGGAAGACAGAUCUGGGUGUUUUCAAGCUCACACUGAACAAUGAUGCUAAAGGUAUGUGCUGGUUUUCAAGUCUUUGGUUACCUGUGGCAUCACUUUCAAUAUAACCAUACAUUUGACAUGCCUGUAUUGUUGUCUUUGUGUAUUUCAUUAUCUUCCCUGAUGAGUCCUGUCUCUGCCAGUUCUGUGAUGGGUGGUUCAGACCAUGAGUCGGUUGAUACAAUCAUUUUGAGUGAAGUGUCAAAGAUCUGAUGACGAAGCAAAAAAUCUAAUAGAGAGCAUACUGAAGAAAAAGCCAGGUGGAGAGGUUGUCAUCAAGGAAUACUCCAAAACUAAAAGCCUGACUGACUGCACCAGACGAAAGAUGAUCAACAAUUUUGUUUCGACGAUGACAGAGACUCAUGGUCGAGUGUAAAGGAAGGAUUCAUAAUGAAAAUGGUUGAGUGUUACUUGCUCCCAUAUCUGCUGAAUGUUAAAAAUGACUUCUGUAUCAGUAUCUCAGUCACAUAAUUGGUUAGGCUACUGCUGACCAUCCACUGCUAUUGGUAGAAGACUGCUCUUGUAUCAAAUUCAAUGGGCAUGAUACCGAUUCAAAAUUCACUCCUGAUAUUUAGCUGACUGGGGACCAAUGCUGCUUGUGGAGAUUCUGAUUGCCGCCUAAACAUAACAUUAUAUUCUUGUCAGGACAUCACCACCGCGUAGUGUGAGAGAAACGUUUGCACAAGGCAUCGUUCCCAUACCUGAAGGAUCCCUGCACUGAAAAUGGAUAUGCAAGUAUACAUUAUGACUGCAAAUGGGACUUGGUUAUUUGUUUUUUCUUUCAAGAUUAGUAACCAUUUUCAUAAGGAACAUUAUUACGACCCUAAUAGUGGAGAAGGGUACCUCUCGUAUAGAAUCAAAACCAUUCAGAGGAAUUUGGUUUCAUCGGAGAAACGGCCCACUCAACUAUACUCUGGAGGGCCAACUGCUGAGAGGGAGUCCAGUCCAUCCACUUUGGCUACCCUGAGUGAAGACCAGUGCCGAGAGGCCAUUUCUCUUAUGAAGCAUUCUUCUGAUGAAGAAACAGAAGAUGAGAUUGACCUUUGAGUACAGGAACAUGACCCACAAAAUGCUCCACCAUCCUAACCGAAUUUCCACGCUUCCUGGAUGUGAAGGGCUUGGUAAGACUUGUUUCAGAUUGAACAGGAUUUUGUGCUGCUGUUUGGAGAGGGAACAUCAGCCAAGGUUUUGGAGAGGUGGCCAACUACAUUCAAGCAAAAGAUCAUCAUGCUAAGCAAGGCCCUAAGCAAGGCCACUCAGGCAGCUGAACUUCAGGAGCUGAUCCAGAUGGCAGAAUCUGCAGUUGAUGAAGGAACUGACAUUAAUGCUUACGGAUCUCUUUGAUUAGGAUGGGAAGGUGACCUUUCCUCCAUCCUUCUCCUGCUCCAUUUGAUUCCUCCUUCAUCACAAGGCUGCAAAAGACCAGGCAAGAUGUCUGCAUCUCAAGCUGAACAGCAUCUUGUGAUAUUCCAAAAGGCAGGAACCAGUAUCCAGGAGCACCUUGAUGCGAUUGACCAGAGCCGCCAACCAUGUCGUCUUGCAGUCGGGACCAGGAAGAGCAGCAUCCAUGCUUACAUCAUCAUCCUGGACAAGAGCGCCUUGCAAGUCAACGAGCUCCCUUGGUGCUUCGAUGAGCUUUUCAAGACUCACUUUGUUUUUGGUACUGCUUACAAUACAAUGCUGCUCAACAUGUACACCUUCAUACAGACAACUGUGUACAUCAUAGACAUUGGGAAGGUUAAGGAGACUCCAAGGGUUGCUGAGCUCAGAGCUAGACCUCUGCACUAAUGCUGAUAUGUUUUGUUUGUACCAACUUGCUCGUAAGGCAUCUCAAGUUGAUGCAUGGAAUGUGCCCUGGUAGAACUCUUAGACUAAAAUGUGGUCAAGCAGAUUGUUGUCGUGUAUUUGGUUGUCGUGUAUUUUCAGACUUUAGGAAGCAUUUGAACAGGGCACAAUCCCGAGACUGUCAAAUUUUGUUAAACGCUAACUUGAAUGCUAAUACAGCUGUUGAUAAUUAGCCAAGUAAUGCUGAUUUUCCUUCUAAUUCUAGUUGUAACCAUGUACCAAUAUCUAACAAGAACACACUUGAUAUGUGUGUGUCUGCUAUUGCACAGCUGCAGGUAUAGGUCAGACUGUAAAUAGUUUUGUAUCUUCCAUGGAAGAAGCAGUUCAAGAGCUACAGGGUCAAGCUAAUGCGACCGCUCUUACAUGUAUAAUAUCUUCAAAAGGAUUUUUGUAUAAAAUAAGCACUUCGUUUUGAUACUGAAUUCAACAACGUGAAAGGAUUUUCAAUAUCCUGAAAAUAAUGCUGUAUUUUUCGGACAAUGUGUGUGUCACAAAUUGUCAGAAAAAUACAGCAUUAUUUUCAGGAGAGUCCUUGGUGUUAGAUUUGACAAUAGAAGAAACAACACUACUGGAACUUAUGAUCAAAUGGUCAUAACUGAUCAAUUUUCUUACAUUCCAAUUCUCCAAACAUUGCAGUUAAUUUUGAAGACCCCAAAUACAAGUGGCAUGUUUAACUCGGGGCACAAUUUUAAAAUUGAGUUUACUUUGAUUUGAAAGCUGGACUAUAUAUGAAGAGACAUCCUCUCUUUUCUAAAGAGUAAAGAGUUGAAUUGAAUGCAUUUAUGAUGACUGACACUGCUAAUCCAUUGGGAUCAAAAAAGUGAAUUCACAAGUUGGGAGGUACAUACUUUACUUUGAGAAAUUUUACCCCAAAGUUUAAUUCAAUUUUGGUAAAUAUUCACGUAUGUGCACUCUUCCAUACCCAGGACCUUAAAACGUAGGGAUUUGAUUCCAUUCUUGAGCAAAUAGUUAGCGAUUUGAAAGUGCUUGAGACUGAGGGUAUUGAAGUUCCGGUUUUGUGGAAUCAUUUAGUGCUCGUUAAUUGUUGCUGUUUUUGCCUCACUGAGAAAGUGUAUUUUCAAACUGUGUUCUCUGAGGAUGACCCAAGAGUGACUUUACGAACAAAACACAUGCAACUCAGACCAUUGUCAAACUAUUCAGUCAAACCCAACACGAUGUGAAGCAUGCUUACUUAUUGAUCUCUCUCCAGUACUUCAAUACUACAGACAGCUUUUCUGUUGAUAUAAUGCAUGACAUUUUAGGAGUUGCACAAUUUGAGGUAAAACUUGUUACAGUAUAUAUAAGCCAACUUUGUGACUGCUAAAGAUGUGUAUGGUAGAGUUCAUUCAUUUAACUAUGGCUAUCGUCCACCUGCACUCAAAUUGGAUGAUGGGAGCAAUGAUUUGGGUCUAAAUGCUAUUCAAUCUUGGUGUCUUCUCAGUAAUUUGCCAUUGAUAUUUGGUGAUCUGGUACAGAAAUAUGAUAAAUACUGGCAGCUGCUUCUGUUACUACUACAAAUUGUAAAUAUUGUGUUUUCUCUUAUACUAACAGACGGCAUGACUAUCUAUCUGAAGCACUUAAUUGCUGAACAUCAUAGGCUUUUCAAGUGUUUGUUUCCUGAUAGAAAUCUGUUACCGAAACACCACUUCAUGAUACAUUAUCGUCGUUGUAUAAGGAACAUCGGGCCCAUUCUUCAUUCGUGGUGUAUGCGCUACGAGGCAAAACAUGAUUUAUUUAAAAAGCAACUGAAGAGUUUUAAGAAUGUCACUAUGACCUUAAUCAAGAAACACAAAUGACAUGGCAUAUAACUGAGAAACCUUCAUCCAGGAUGGACUAGCUAUAGGUCCAGGAAAGAUGUCAAGGCUCAAUCACCUGAAAGAAAGCCAUGAGAUUUCUGCCAAGUUGAAUGUCUCAGUGCACACACGUUUUGUCAGUUAAAUGGGUAAAGCCCCAUGGUACAGAAUAUCGUCUUGAUUUGGUCAUAUGUGGUGAAGUAGUCAUUGAAAUGCCACUAUUUUACAAAAUGAAGGCUAUUCUGAAAGAGGAAAAUGUUUUUUAGGUUGGGUCAGCUCUUGAAACCUUAUGUUUUGAUGAUCAUUUGCAUGCAUUCAAAGUUUUGAAGCAAAGUAUUUCAUGUAAAUAACAUGUUCCACAAACCUUUUCAUUUGCUCAAGUCAUAUGGAGCAAGGGAUUCUUUUGACUACAUUCUACUGUCACUUGAUAACAGUUUAAGCCAGGGCUGGGACUUGUGGUUUGGUCAUAAUAAACAUAUUU